AUUGAAAGCUGGCGGCAGGCCUAACACAUGCAAGUCGAACGAGUGGCGGACGGGUGAGUAAUGUCUGGGAAACUGCCCGAUGGAGGGGGAUAACUACUGGAAACGGUAGCAAAUACCGCAUACCAUCGGAUGUGCCCAGAUGGGAUUAGCUAGUAGGUGGGGUAACGGCCAACAUAGGCGACGAUCCCUAGCUGGUCUGAGAGGAUGACCAGCCACACUGGAACUGAGACACGGUCCAGACUCCGACGGGAGGCAGCAGUGGGGAAUAUUGCACAAUGGGCGCAAGCCUUAUGCAGCCAUGCCGCGUGUAUGAAGAAGGCCUUCGGGUUGUAAAGUACUUUCAGCGAGGAGGCGUUACUCGCAGAAGAAGCACCGGCUAACUCCGUGCCAGCAGCCGCGGUAAUAC
rnacentral:rRNA from 1 species